UGAUGACUUCCGCAUCUGUGCUCGUGUUCUUCAAAUACAUGGAAAAUUGCAGUCAUAAAUAAUAGGAUUGAGCAUUGGAGGUACAAGAAAAUAG
rnacentral:lncRNA from 1 species